rnacentral:rRNA from 1 species
CAGGUAACAUCAAAUCGUACCCCAAACCGACACAGGUGGUCAGGUAGAGAAUACCAAGGCGCUUGAGAGAACUCGGGUGAAGGAACUAGGCAAAAUGGUGCCGUAACUUCGGGAGAAGGCACGCUGACACGUAGGUGAAGUGAUUUACUCAUGGAGCUGAAGUCAGUCGAAGAUACCAGCUGGCUGCAACUGUUUAUUAAAAACACAGCACUGUGCAAACACGAAAGUGGACGUAUACGGUGUGACGCCUGCCCGGUGCCGGAAGGUUAAUUGAUGGGGUCAGCGCAAGCGAAGCUCCUGAUCGAAGCCCCGGUAAACGGCGGCCGUAACUAUAACGGUCCUAAGGUAGCGAAAUUCCUUGUCGGGUAAGUUCCGACCUGCACGAAUGGCGUAAUGAUGGCCAGGCUGUCUCCACCCGAGACUCAGUGAAAUUGAACUCGCUGUGAAGAUGCAGUGUACCCGCGGCAAGACGGAAAGACCCCGUGAACCUUUACUAUAGCUUGACACUGAACAUUGAGCCUUGAUGUGUAGGAUAGGUGGGAGGCUUUGAAGUGUGGACGCCAGUCUGCAUGGAGCCGACCUUGAAAUACCACCCUUUAAUGUUUGAUGUUCUAACGUGGACCCGUGAUCCGGGUUGCGGACAGUGUCUGGUGGGUAGUUUGACUGGGGCGGUCUCCUCCUAAAGAGUAACGGAGGAGCACGAAGGUUGGCUAAUCCUGGUCGGACAUCAGGAGGUUAGUGCAAUGGCAUAAGCCAGCUUGACUGCGAGCGUGACGGCGCGAGCAGGUGCGAAAGCAGGUCAUAGUGAUCCGGUGGUUCUGAAUGGAAGGGCCAUCGCUCAACGGAUAAAAGGUACUCCGGGGAUAACAGGCUGAUACCGCCCAAGAGUUCAUAUCGACGGCGGUGUUUGGCACCUCGAUGUCGGCUCAUCACAUCCUGGGGCUGAAGUAGGUCCCAAGGGUAUGGCUGUUCGCCAUUUAAAGUGGUACGCGAGCUGGGUUUAGAACGUCGUGAGACAGUUCGGUCCCUAUCUGCCGUGGGCGCUGGAGAACUGAGGGGGGCUGCUCCUAGUACGAGAGGACCGGAGUGGACGCAUCACUGGUGUUCGGGUUGUCAUGCCAAUGGCACUGCCCGGUAGCUAAAUGCGGAAGAGAUAAGUGCUGAAAGCAUCUAAGCACGAAACUUGCCCCGAGAUGAGUUCUCCCUGAGACUUAGAGUCUCCUGAAGGAACGUUGAAGACGACGACGUUGAUAGGCCGGGUGUGUAAGCGCAGCGAUGCGUUGAGCUAACCGGUACUAAUGAACCGUGAGGCUUAACCUU